rnacentral:tRNA from 1 species
GGUAAAAUGAGCUAAAGUUUAAUGCUAUUGGGCCCAUAACCCAAAAAUGUCUUAAGACUUUUACUU